GAUGAAGAACGCAGCGAAAUGCGAUAAGUAAUGUGAAUUGCAGAAUUCAGUGAAUCAUCGAAUCUUUGAACGCACAUUGCGCCCCCUGUAUUCCGGGGGGCAUGCCUGUUCGAGCGUCAUUUCACCACUCAAGCCUCGCUUGGUAUUGGGCAACGCGGUCCGCCGCGUGCCUCAAAUCGACCGGCUGGGUCUUCUGUCCCCUAAGCGUUGUGGAAACUAUUCGCUAAAGGGUGUUCGGGAGGCUACGCCGUAAAACAACCCCAUUUCUAAGGUUGACCUCGGAUCAGGUAGGGAUACCCGCUGAACUUAAGCAUAUCAAUAAGCGGAGGA
rnacentral:misc_RNA from 1 species